UAAAGGACAAUUUGACCAACACGAUACAGCCUCUACAAAGUUUCAAAGCUUCCAUGUGCUUAGAGAUGAAAAAGAUAUAUACAUAUGCAUAUGUGUAUGUAUAUGUGUGCGUAACUUCCAAAGACUAGUAGAUAACAUGACACGUUGCUGAAACUUAAAAACGCAAAGGUCUAUUCAAAUUGUUCGUGUAAAAGCCACAAACAAUCACUAUAAAUAAGCAUAAACCAUGACAAAUUUGAUAAUAAUUGUUCUUUAAAAGGAAGAGACUUAAGCGGGAGUCAUUUUACACCCUCCCGGUCAAUCUUUUCAUGCCACGGCUAUGCUGACGCUACACGCACGCACCUUUCAUUUUCCACCGAGGAAUUUACUUGGCGGCAAAUAAACGCGUGGCGGGCAAUCAUUUUCUUUUACACCUUAACACUUGAAAAGCCUUAUCCACUCCUUCCUUUAAUUCUAGAGGGGAUUGAUGAAUAAUGAUCAAUUGAUUGAUUUCUCCGUACCAACUGAUCAGGCGGCUCCACACGGCAUGAACUUUUCGAUGAGCUCAAAUUAAUUCAUCAGCUUUCCCACCGGAACAUAAGGCAGUGGCUAGUGGAGCUGCUCCAUCUAUCGUAUAGUACUGAUUAUUGGAGUAUUUAUGAUGAUUGUCAAAUUAUAAUAAUAAAUAUAAAUUUAAUAUUUAUUUAUAUAAUCGUCCGGUCCUUAUUAGUGUUCCAUUAUGUAAAAUAAUUUCAACAUAACUAAACUUAGAAUAUAAUUUGUUGUUAAUAUCGCACUUGAUAGAUAAUAAAGAAUUGAUAAAACUUUAAGUUGUUAGCUAAAUAUUGUAUCAAAAGUGUGUUAAAAUCUAAGUAUAUAUAAGAACAACAUAACUAAAAUUAAUUUCUCUCCUAAUUCAUGAAAGCGAGGUUUAAAUUUUAGGUAUCUUAUACUAACAUAUAUUAUAGAUUUAUGAGCUGGUCCAAAUUAAAAUCCACAAAACAUAAAAUACUACUAACUUAGUUCUUUAAUUGGACCAAAGAGAUAAAAAUUAUUUCAGUGUUGUAUUUUGAAAAAUGUGAGUAUCAUCUUCUCUUGAGAUUUUUGCAAGGAAUGUCUUUACUCAACGAGGACACAAAGUGGAUACAUGGUCGUUGUAGAAAUAAUUUGCUUCAUUUCUAGUGUCUUUGUCACCGAAGUUAACCAUACCACACUACUUUGAAAAAUUGGCCGUGUGGUUUGUGGUAUCUGUCAAAUACAUAAUGCAGCAAUUGUGUAUCAUUUUGUCAUUAAAAUUGUAGGUGACCACCCUUAAUGCUUACUGCAAUUCUUCUAUGCCAUUGAUUUUUUCUUCUUCCAAAUAAUAAUAAUAAUAAGGAGCUUGCUAUGUUGCAGCUUCUGCAAGUAACAUAGCCAAUGGAAAUCUUCCACGGGUGUUGGUGCUGAUGCAACGUAGGCAAGGGAGCCGUGUAUGCAAGGGUCAAUAUGCCAAGGCUGUUAGUUGCAGCUUCUGCAACUUAGCCGUGUCCUAAUAAUAAUAAUAAUAAGAGGCCAAGGGGGUUCGAUACCUGAUAAAGACAUGCACUCACCUAUCAGUCCCUUUAUAUAACUUGUCGCUGUCAUUAUUGAACGUCCUGUAGAAUUUUGUCCAAUUGUCUACAGGCUGUAUUAUAUACAUGAAUAAAUUGGGAAUAAUAAUAAAAUUAAAAUCUAUAGUCCAUCAAACAAUCAUGCACAUUCAUAAUUCGUAGAAAUUAAUCAAAUAAUUAAAAAAAAAAAAAAACUUCGAGAGAUGGAAACAAGCAUCAGGACACAACAAUACCUGGAUGUUUGUUGGUUUAACUAAUUAGUAACCAAUCUUUUCUUUUUCUUUUUCUUAAAAGAUUGACACAUGUUUGCUGCGAAUAUUAAUUUCACUUCCACUAUCGAGAAGGAUUUAAUUUAUAUUUAUUUAAAAUUAUUCUGAUUGUUCUCAGAGAAUCAAGCAUUUUUUUUUUGUUUGGAUUUAACGUAGAGAUAAUGGAA
rnacentral:lncRNA from 1 species